rnacentral:rRNA from 1 species
CCCUACGGGGUGCAGCAGGUCGCCAGCGAUGGAACCGUCAUAAACGGUGCGCAUGAUAUCAAAGGAGCCAAAGACGGUCAGGAAAGCGAUCAGCGCCUGGGAAAAAGCGACGUAGGUGAGGGCGCCUUCCAUGGUGAGGCCGCUGACGACGGGCUGACCAUUAUAGAGGGCAAGCAGCACAGCCGCGCGCAGCAGCCCAAAGAACAGGUUGGUUGCCAGCCCGGCCCACAUGGCCAUGCGAUAGGUCAUCUGCUGGCGCGCAGACGUGCGAACCAGCGUCCAAAAAUAUGGCAUGGGGGCGCUCCUUUCUCCCUGGAUGGGGAAGAACCGAAACGCUUAUUUUACCGCAUUCAGGUUAUUUUUGAGAGC